rnacentral:lncRNA from 1 species
GCGAGGCAGAGGCGGAGGCCGUCGCGGCGGGAGGAGCGGCAGCAUCGGCUAGGGCCGGCGCUGCGGAUGAGCCGGCGGCGGCGGGUAGGGCAGCGAAAGACGACAUCGUAACCUAAUCUGAUACCAUGUUAAACAAUGUGUUUGGGGAACUGCUCGACACCCUAAACGUGGGUGCGGCUAUCUCAUUAUAUAGAGGUACCAAGAGGUACAGUACAAGUCAUAUACAGUUAUAUACAGACACGC